UGACUGAGGCAUCCAUAAAAACGUUCACAUUCCCUGCAGAAUACCAAGCUACCGUGUACACAGUGAAGGCAUGGGUAUGACCAAGCAUCAUUGGGAAAACAACACAUCCUAUUGGAUGUUUUUGAUUGAAAAACAGCAGUGGAUUGGCUGACCGAAUCUAUUGGUCGGGCUGUAACGUGGCACAUGGUCUGCGAUUGUAGCCGUUGAACAGGAGAGUUGUCUGCUACAGUGAGCAGGUUCUCCACUGCUGGUGAUGCAGGCCCAUCUAUGGAGACAACAGCAAGAUGACUUACCUCUUCUGCUGCUGCUGAAGGUGAAGUUGGUUCUAGAAGAUUGACAUGAGAAUAAUAUGUAAAGGCGAGUACUCACAGGCGUCUGCACCAAGCUAUUCUGGUUUCUGCCAGAGGGGAAGCUCACUCACCUGAUGACAAUCGUCGGCUUUGCAGUUGCCAGAGCCAACUGUUGGAGUAAAGACUGACAAGACCAGGAAAUUGCUGACGACACCUCCCUUCUUGAGCGAAGCUGGCAAAUUUUUAUCACUCAUGGGGCUUCCCAACUACUCCUACUCUAGCUACACAGUCAAGGCUCGACACUAGUGUGGUGUUUUAUAUUCAAAAUAACAGAUUUUCACAACUGUUACCACACAUUUCCUGAGUAUGUACUACAUUUUCCAAAAACUAUGAACACACUUCUCCAAUCUCACAAUAUUGACCAAACCCCAGAUCUCUCACACAUUAUCUGUCAUAUGAAUAAAACCUUGACAUCAAAAGUCACCCAAAAGCACCAAAAACAAUAACAGUACUGAGUACCCACUGCACACUGUUGAGAGGUAUUGAAAACACUAUUUGAAAAAGAGCUAUUCAUUAAUCAAUAUCCAUAAUAUGCUCCAGAACUAUGCAUUUUUCAUUCUGCAUGAAAUGAUACACUGUCAAUUAUGUCUAAAAAAUUAUGUACAGAAAAUAUACAAAUACUAUAAUUGUAAAAAAAAUUUCUAAUUCACCAACACUUUUGCCCAUAAGGAAAAAAUUAUUAUUAGAAAGGUAUAAGGUUUUUGUAAUGAAAAUGCCUAAGCAUCCUGUAUUGGAUCUGUAGAGUGUGUGCUAAUGCAUAGUGAUUCAGAGUAUAGAAAACAUGGAAGUCAGCUCAAUAGUCAGAUACGUUUACAGUAAAUUACCUACUUUGAUUAAAUAAAAAUUCUAACAAGUUAUGUAACAGCGUAGCGGUUGAGGUUUAGCUGAACAGUCGUGACAAGCACAGUGCCACGACUUUAAUUAGACAGCUUUGUUCUUCUUUCUAUUCCUCUUUGUUAUUCUUUCUAGACCUUCCUCUUCCUCACUAAUGCGGUCAUCCAUUUUUCAAAAACACAGGUGAGCUUACCUGUGGCCCUUUUUAUUCAUGCCAACAUCCUGAUUGCCUGUUGACUAGAAAUGCUUGUAAGUGUUAAACCUCAACAACUGUUUGGUCAUGACAACAUGUUGACAAAUGUGUGCAAAGUUUUCUCACAUGAUUUCAUUUCUUAAGUGUUGUGACUCAAAUAUAAUAUUUUCCGUUCAGCUCACUCUCUGAAAGUAAUUCCAUGGAACACGUGACAAUAAAGGCCAAUUCUAUAGGCGGAGGCAACAACCCAAAAAUAUGCAGACACCAAU